rnacentral:rRNA from 1 species
CAGCCGUAAACUAUGCGCGUUAGGUGUGCUGGUGACCACGUGUCACCGGGGUGCCGAAGGGAAACCGUGAAACGUGCCGCCUGGGAAGUACGGUCGCAAGGCUGAAACUUAAAGGAAUUGGCGGGGGGAGCACCACAACGGGUGGAGCCUGCGGUUUAAUUGGACUCAACGCCGGAAAUCUCACCGGAUAGGACAGACAAAUGAUAGUCGGGCUGAAGACUCUACUUGAUGAUCUGAGAGGAGGUGCAUGGCGUCAGUGACU